rnacentral:rRNA from 1 species
CCUACGGGAGGCAGCAGUGGGGAAUAUUGCGCAAUGGGCGAAAGCCUGACGCAGCGACGCCGCGUGAGGGAUGAAGGUCUUCGGAUCGUAAACCUCUGUCAGCAGGGAAGAACGGUCACUGUGCUAAUCAGCAGUGAAUUGACGGUACCUGCAAAGGAAGCACCGGCUAACUCCGUGCCAGCAGCCGCGGUAAUCCGGAGGGUGCGAGCGUUAAUCGGAAUUACUGGGCGUAAAGCGCUCGUAGGCGGUAUGUCAAGUACAGGGUGAAAUCCCCGGGCUCAACGUGGGAACUGCCUUUGAAAAUGGCAAACUGGGGUGUGUGAGAGGAUAGUGGAAUUCCAGGUGUAGGAGUGAAAUCCGUAGAUAUCUGGAGGAACAUCAGUGGCGAAGGCGACUAUCUGGCACAUAACUGACGCUGAGGAGCGAAAGCGUGGGUAGCAAACAGGAUUAGAUACCCGUGUAGUC